ACGUGAUCUGAGUUCAGACCGGAGUAAUCCAGGUCAGUUUCUAUCUAUAAAGGGCUUUUUCUAGUACGAAAGGACCGAAAAAGCAUGGCCUAUAACCCAUCAAGCCAUAUAAAUUACUAUUGUUCCCAACUUAAAUAGAAGUAAACCUACCACUUAUCUCGAUAAAAGAGAA
rnacentral:rRNA from 1 species